rnacentral:tRNA from 1 species
AACCAUGUAGCCCAAUGGAUGCGAUAUCUGCCUUUGGAUCAGAAGGUUGAGAGUUCAAGUCCCUUUGUGGUUA